rnacentral:lncRNA from 1 species
UUUCAGCAAGGACAGGAGACUAGGAAGGCGGAGGGAGGCUGCUAUUGGCAGGGCCUCAGUGGAGACCUCCCGGGGUCCCGGGACGCAGACGGACGGGCCUGAAUCGCUCGCCUUGGUGAAAUGGGAUCCAGCGCUGCCAACUGCGGCAACUGCGGUUAAAGGAGACGACCCCGUGCAGCAGGAGGAGGUUAUUUAGAAUAAGGAAGAAUGCGCCGGGCUCAUUGGUCGCUACAGGGGCAUAAAUUUUUUCUAGGAUUCCAGAGUAUGGCUGCUCCAGUCCCAGAUUCGGCUCGACUUACAGACCUCAGCGCAGGACGUGGACGCCCUGCAAAGACGGAGUCUCUCUAUGUCGCCAGGCUGGAUGCUGUUGCGGGAAGUCAGGGACCCUGAACAGAGGGACCAGCUGGAGCUGUGUCAGAGGAACAUAAAUUGUGAAGAUUUCAUUUUAAUAUGGACAUGUAUCGGUUCCCAAAAUUAAUACUUUUAUAAUUUCUUACGCCUGUCUUUACUGCAAUCUCUGAACAUAAGCUGUGAAGAUUUCACGGACAUUUAUCAGUUCCCGAAAUUAACACUUAUAAUUUCUCAUGCCUGUCUUUACUUUAAUCUCUUAAUCCUGUUAUCUUCGUAAGCUGACGAUGUACGUCACCUCAGGACCACUGUGAUAAUUCUACCUAACUAUACAAAUUGAUUGUAAAACAUGUGUAUUUGAACAAUAUGAAAUCAGUGCACCUUGAAAAAGAACAGAAUAACAGUGAUUUUAGGGAACAAGGGAAGAUAAUCAUAAGGUCUGACUAUCUGUGGAGUUGGGCAGAAUGGAGCCAUAUUUUUCUUCUUGCAGAGAGCCUAUAAAUGGACGUGCAAGUAGGGAUAUCACUGAAUUCUUUUCCUAGCAAGGAAUGUUAAUAAUUAAGACCUUGGGAGAGGAAUGCACUCCUCGGGGGAGGUCUAUAAAUGGCUGCUCUGGGAGAGUCUGUCUUAUGCAGUUGAGAUAAGGACUGAAAUAUGCCCUGGUCUCCUGCAGUACCCUCAGGCUUAUUAGUGUGGGGAAAAAACCCCACCCUGGUGAAUUUAAGGUCAGACAGAUUCUCUGCUCUUGAACCCUGUUUUCUGUUGUUUAAGAUGUUUAUCAAGACAAUACGUGCACAGCUGAACAUAGACCCUUAUCUGGAGGUUUUGAUUUUGUCCUUUGCCUUGUGAUCUCUAUUGGCUUCAGAGGCAUGUGAUCUUUGUUCUCCUUUUUGCCCUUUGACACCUGUGAUCUCUGUGACCUACUCCCUGUUCGUACACCCCCACCCCUUUUAAAGUCCUUAAUAAAAACCUCCUGGUUUUGCGGCUCAGGUGGGUCCUACCAAUAUGGGAUGUCACCCCC